AUUAGCAGACUUUGAUUGGAUCCAAUUACUUGCAUGCAAGUGAUAACAGAAAUGGAAUAUGUGAUUUACAAUACGUUCAAAAUUAUAGAUGCAAUGAAUAUUACACUUACAACAUUGCUACUUUAAAGCAAGGAAUGCUGAACUGGCCCGUAAAGUACCAUAGUUUCAGCAAUAAAGCAUAGUUUCAGCAAAAUCCAGCACUUACUCAUCAUUUGCAUGAUGCGGGAUCAUAUUCUCUGAGUGAUGAUCAACAUCAGUAGAAGAAAAUGUUGCUGACUGUGGACUCUCCAUGAUUGGGUUCUCCAUUCAAGAAUUAGUUAUAGCUGCAGAAACAAAGAAAGAUAAGAAUUAUAGCUAAACACAAAGAAUAUUUCCCAGUAAAGUACCACAUGCUCACAAGUUCAAAACAAGCAUGUCAAUGUUUUUCCUUUUCUUAACAUCAUACAAAUUAUAUUUCAAGUGCACAACUUGAUAUUGAACAUAAUCUUGGAUUGAAACAUUUUUCACAGCUAUUUGUCUUCUUAAAUUGCCAAUGCCAUGGCCACUACCUUCAAGGAGUAGGCUUUAUACCUUGCAUAUUUCAAAUAAAACAGAACCCUCCAGCAA
rnacentral:lncRNA from 1 species